CUCUGAAUGAUGAAGGUGGCUAAGAGGAGAUUUUCACAUAUCACCAAAGGGUCACAAUGUCUUGCAGGGUCAAAUCCUGUAUUGUUUAUGACAACUUUCCACCUUUCUUUUCAAGCACAGUCUCCAACUGUAGCAACUCUAAAACCUCACUUGGGGCUGAUGAAUUUUUAACAUGAUCAGCUCUGCAUACCUCAAUCAAGUAGUGCAGCAAUGUGUCUGUCCUCAUUGGUGUCAAGGCCUGGAAUAACACAGGACUCUCAGCAAGCAGCUAGUGCAACGAUCACAAAUAAAGAGCUCACUCUGGGGUGAAAAUUAGGGUGGAAUAAAUUUAAGAGAUCCAUUUUUGUUGAAAUAAAUUUUUGAAAGCUACAUUGGAAUACAUCUACUGCAACAAUGGGUUUUUUUGAGCACAUAAAUAAACUAGAGCCUGCUUCUGUACCAGGACACUUGAGCAUAGUCACCCCUUCCUAGCCAGAGCCACUGAAGUUUGAAACCUUGUCUAUAUGAGUCCCAAACCAACAUGAAUAGCUUAGCUUCCUUAGGACUUCACACAAUUUUUAGGCUGCCAGCGUUGUUAUUUAUUUAGUGACAUACACACACAAAAUUAAAGCCUGCAACACGUCAUUAAAGACAAUCUGUAAUUAAGUUAGCUUGACAUAACAUGCCAGAAUAAUCCACGUGACCUGUGGUAUGGUGUUUUUCUCCAGGGCUUCUUGAUGUUCAUGUCUACAUACAAUUAGAUUGUGUGGAGUUUGGUCAUGUGCCUGGCUCACUGAGAGCAUAUGCGUUGCUUUGAUGGCUAUUUAAUAUGCUGUUUGAUCUCUUUCCACCAAAAAAAAAAGAAAAAACAAUUGAGUACACUGAGAUAUUGAAAUGAGGAGUACAUAAGACACUAAGAAAUUCCUAGGACUUGACAGUUUCUGGAAGAGAACAGAGCCAGCUGCAAUUAUCCUACCUGCAGUGAGAAAUUCCUCUUUACAGGCCUGAGCACGCCUAUUCCCCAGCAGUCCCUGGAGCUUUAGUGUGGAAGGAGGGCUGUGGCCCAGCUGGGUGAAAGAUCUGAACGAUGGCAAUCGCCUUCCUGUGAGAACAAAGGCCACCCUUGCCCCAGUGGAGGUUUCCAUCCCUUUCACUCAGGUCUCAGGAGGCUCACGUGGUGAUGGUAUUGUUCAGCUUUAAAACUGCAAACUCUUGUGCAAUAAAAGUGGAGACAGAUAUUGGAGGUGGGGAGGGCAGAGAGGGGGAUGCUUCCUCUCAAACCACAAGGCUGGUGGAGAUGUUGGAUCCCAGUUAUCAUCCAUUUUGCCUGGUAUCCUCUUUGCAGCACUGAAUGCCCGGGAAAGAAGCUGGGAAACCUGCAAAACAUCUCCUGACACUUCCCAGAAACAGCUUCAGAGCUUUGACCUACCUGAUUCUGUUCCUGAGCCAACGCUGGUAUUUUGCCACAAAAAAAUACCAGAUAAAAUACAUUCCAAACUCUACCACACAGACAAUGAAGAGUGAAACAAAACUUUCUUUGAAGUUUUAUCCAUUUCACGGAAGCUGUUUUUCUCCACUUAAGAAAUCCAGAGCAAACAAAAAUAGUAUUUCAAAGCUCAAUGAAGGUGUGAUCGCAUACAUUUGACAAAUAUUUUGCUGUUGUGUAAUGUGUCAGUUGUGGAAACCAAAAGUGAUAUUCCCAGAGCAAGAUUAUGCCUGAACUUGAUUGGUCAAAUGUUGGAUUUGAUGCUCUUGGAGGUCUUUUCCAACCUGUGUGAUUCUGUAAUGCUAUGAAUCUAUGAUUUCAUGGCAAAGGAGAGAUGUGCAGCACAGGUCCCCACUCAAUUCCAAGGGCAGUCCCAUCACUCCCAGAGUGCCUCAUCCUCUCUAGAUUGUACCAGCCAAAAUCAGAGGAACCAGUGUCAGACCAGGGCCUUAUAGAUAGGAGACAUUAAUUUAGUAGCAGCUUUCCCCUGGCUGGCAUCAGCUCCACCAGCUGUCCUGACCACUUCAAAGGAUCAAGGGUGCAGUUAAAAUGGUAUCAGUGCUGUGAAUUUCGAUUCUCACUCUCCACCUGAUGAUUCAACACUCACAAACCCUUCCACUGCGAGCUGAGAGCUGCAGUACAGCCCCGUGCAGUGUCCCUGGUAAAGUCAGCAGGACAAAAGCUCUCUCUGGUGGUACAUUGCAGGCUCUGCAGGUUCCUUUCCCUCCCACUCCAAGCAGCCGAGCAGCUCCGUGCUGUCCCUGCCUUUCCUGACGAGCCCACCCCAGGCUCUGCCAGGAUUAGUGACGGCACUGGAGCAAACAGCGAGCGGGACAUUGUCCUGUUUGAACAGAGCUGAACACACCGGGGAUAAGACAAGACACUAUACAUGAUGAGAUGAAUGGUUUCUGGUCUUGACAGUUACAAGAUUGGAAGUGACAUGGAAGGGCAUUUUAUUUAUCUGGAGAAGAAGUGCAGUGCUAGCAGCCACAACAUAAGCUUUUUGACAUGUUUCACGAACCACCAGCUGUGCCCCAGAAUUGGCAUCUUCUUCAGCAGUCAAAACAAUUCAGUAGUUUUAUGUAUUCCCACCAGUUGCCUUUAUUCCCAGUCUAAGGUAUCAGCUUCCCUCCCACCUGAGCUAUUGUACCAGGAAACAGAAAUCUUAAAUUAAUUUUAUCUUGAUCUCCUACAGCUAAGUAAGACAUAGCCUAAGUGUUUUGACUUCAGCAAAUAGUUUCUUUGAAACACCACCCACUCAGCUGCCUGAGUCGUCAUCUGUGAGAGGCUGAGACUGCAAUCAGAGCCCUUAAAUGUCGGGAAUAAAUGCUCUGCUGCACACUUCCCUGAAAUCUGACUAAUCCCAACUGCUGUUUCACAGGUAAAAUAUUACCAAGUGACACAAAAUAGGGACAUUCAGAUGCCUGGAUGGGAUAAUAGUUUCAAUUACAAAUCACUGACUAGGACAAGUCACAAGUUGUAAAGAGGUGUUCCUCCACUUGAACAGCAGUAACUGGCCACAAGAAACAAAAGCUCAAGUUGCUUUCCUGAUCACACAGAACCUGACAUAAUUGGAAGCUAUUUACUAAUGGCACUAAAUUACUUUUAUAGCUCUUUACCAUCUGAUUCAGUACUUCUUCAUAGCAACUUCUAACCCAAGUGACCACUGCACCCCUGAAGUUGUUUGUGCCCAGAACACCAAAAAGCUGAGCUGUCACCAUUUGCCCUGCCUGGAGUGCUCAGGAGAAUCUGCUUUCUUCUGCUGCUUUCUACAGUACUGUUAGUAAUACAGCCAAAGUCAUCACCUGCAGAAAUUACAGAUAGUAGGAGAGUACAAGACUCUGCAGUUUACCAGUGAAGGUAUGCUGGCUACAUAAGCAACUCUGAAUGCAAAAAUGUUUUGCAGACUCUGAAGACCUCUGAACCAGAUGUUGCUACAAACAAGAGUAGGAAAAGGCUUCAAGAAUUUGGAAAGUCCAUGCAUGUUUCCAGAAUUCUCAUCCCUGGUACAAACCUCCACAGAAACCAAUCAGACUCACUGCUUUCCUCUCCCAUGUUGCAAUUAGGAAAAAUUCUCUGGGAAAAAGAGUACAAUACCCUUCAGGUACAGCACUGGGCUUCUGCCCUGCCUGCAGCUCCCCAGGGCAGCAGCAUCCAGCCCUGGAAAUGGGACAACUGUCAAGGCAUCGCGCAGCUCCCCGCGCUUCCCAGCAGACACACUGCCUCCAGAGAUUUUUCCCCGAAGAAAAAAUUAGAUUAACAUCUGAAAGCACAUAAUUUUAUCUUUGGUAAUGUCUCUUCUAAUAUUGCCACUUUUUAAAACUGUUACAUAACCACGUUGUGUAACCAACAAGCUCAACUUCCUUACCAAGCUGCUCCUCUCCCUCCCUCGAUCCAUCCAUCAACCCUGGCAUCCUGCAGGGCUCCUGUAUGAAUUGCACUGCUUUAUUUAAAUAAUAUGGUACAAUUGUCCUUCAUUGUUUUGCCAGGCAGCAUUGACCAAAAGAAACUUUACUAAAAAUGAGGACUCAAAUAGUAGCUGGUGCCACUAAAUCCUACUGACUUUGCAUAUCCAAAGCAACCUGACCUUCAACAGCUGAAAGCUGAAGUCUUCAAAGUACCAACUUGUAAGAGUGACAGUGACUUUGCUUUCCAAUGAUACAAAAAUCAAAAUAUACUUAAAAGCUCCCUAUUUCCAGAAACUUGGCUUUGAAUGGAAGUCAGACACGGAGACAACACAAUCCUCCAGGCCAGUUUUCUGCCAGACUGGUUAUUUUAUAAAAUUAAAGGUUCAUACUCUUCUCCUGGUAGUUGUGCCUGCAACAUUCUGCAAAAUGCCUAAAGCAAAUUAAGUAGAGCAACAGAAUCAUCGUAACUCAAGUACACACAUUAUUUUUAUAUUAAGAUGCAAGUUUUCAUGUUUUGAGAAAUCACCUACAGUAAUACACAAGCUAAAAGUAGUUUUAGAAUAAGCUGAGAUUUGGACAGGUAGGCAACAUUCCUAGCUUUGUUUCAUCCUGUUCUUGUUUCUGCUACUUAAUCAGCUGUUUUUUUCACAAACUCUUCUGCUUUAUGAAUUUUACAGAUAGGAAACAAGGCUAAAUUGCUUGUGAUUAUCUGCUUUUUAAAAGAGCCUAGCAAGUAAUUGCCUAUCAGUAUUAUCAUAGAGCUUUGAAAGAUCUCAGGCUGCUCCAUCAGGGAAACAAAUUAGAGACAGUAAGCUCAAAAGACACAGCCAAGGUGUUCAGAGACACAAACAAACAGCCGGACCUUUUAUGACACUUUAUCCAAGGCAUUGUCUAAUACACAUAUAAAGGUGGCUCUGUAGAGCCACCAGGUGCUGAGUGCCCUCUGUUCUGUCAGGACACUCAGAGUUCUAGCUGUCUUGCUGGAAUUCCACAGACAAGCUGGAGGUAGUACUCAGCUUCUGGUUCACGGUCACCUCGCCUCCAAAUGAAAGGCCUGAGGAGCAGCUGAGGCAUGCAAGAGCCAUCUGUGACUAAACUGCCACCCUAAGUUAAACACUUCCAUCCUUUCCCAAGUCUUGACAUGAAUGUUAAAAACAGUGUAAGAAAGGUUUCUUAGAACUCUAUAAAUAGAGACAAAUCUGAACUUCCAUUCUGAUUAGGCUUCCUUUGGUGUUCCAGCAUGAGUCUUACUUUGAAAUUAAGAAAAAAAAACAAGGAAAAAAAUUCUAGAGGUUUAUCCACCAGUACUCCAUUUAGCUUCACACGCUUGUGCACACAUGUAUUGGGUUUUUUAUAUCUACAAAGAAGUGACUAGAACAUCUGGCCUGGCCCAGAACACAUUCACAGAUGAAGAUAGGCAUGCUUUAUAACAUAUGAACAUGCAUACAUUAUGAGAAAAUGCAAGCGAAUUAUGCCUCCAAUUAUAUGAACUGAGUACAUGCCAGUGAUGCAAACAGAGCCCAUGCCAGAUUUUGGAUCUCCACCUGAGAUGACACUGGAGAAAUCACAUUAAUCUCAGGUAAAAUUACGAGGAAAAUCAUCAGUUGGUUUGCAAAGCCAAGCGGUGCAGAGGAUCCCAAGUCAGCUUCAUCAAAAUUGAAAGAGAUGCGAAUUAACACAUUAACAAUAAAAACAUGGAGCAUUUUAUCAACAUACUUUGAGUGCUGUCAACUUGCUUGUUUGAACUUUAAAAGACAGAUUAAUCAGGAAUUUUUGGUUCUAUGUAAAAGAGGGAUGAAAUCUAAUCUAAAGUUCCUUUCCAGCCUUAAGUCUCAGAAUAAUUAUAUCUACAAUUAAAAACCUCACCUAAAAGUGAAUCUUUUAAAAUAUCUAAAGCUUUACUUGCCUUGGAGGUGGGGGGGGGAAGCAAUAAAUAAAAUUAUUCAUGCCAGCAUGGUAUACACAGCCAUAUUUAUUAGUUCACUUCCAAUUACAUAAAGAAAAAGCUGAAGCCAUAUACAAGUGCUGCUUUAAAAUAAAGACAGACUACUGUUUUCUCCAACAGUUUUAUUUCAAAAAGUACACAAGUCUGUCAUGGAACUACAGCAUUUUAAAAUUUUGGAUUUUGUUUUUUUACAAAUUCACUCACAAUACCUGUAUUUUAAAAUACCAUUCCCCCAAAAGUGUGAAUAUAAAAACCUCAUACUGAAAUUCAUAUCAAUGUUCAAAGUCCAUGCUUUGUGCAUGAGAAGUGUAAUGUAACAUCGUAACAUAUUGGAUCCCAGGAAGUUGUUAUUGCUCCGAUUUCAGCUGAGCUAUGCCUCAGUGCUAGGGGACUAUUCAACAAAGGGCCCCAAAAAGCACCUAUCAAGUGUAUAAAACAGGGUUUAAGUGACACAAAUAGCAUCAUAUCUUUAGACUGGAACAAAGACCUAGAGUGAUCCAGAAUAUAUACACUGCUCAGAACAAAACUAAAAGCUUGUCAUGGAAACCAGUAAUAUACAAUAUUGAGCAUUACAGAAAAACUUGCAAUUCAGAAGUCUUACUUGAACUAUUAAACAGGAAGCAUACAUCUAAUAUUAAUGAGACUAUCAAGAGCUGAGAAAGACGUAUGCGUUGUACAUUUCUUUCAAAAGUCAUGUUUUACCCCUCCAACAAGGCAUUUCUGUGCACCACCCAGUUUUGGAAGAAGUAUUUGUUUUUAGGGAAGGAAGUUUCACACAAGUAUCUUUAAAUACCCACUGCAGAAAGUUGAUGAAAACUCUUGUAAUAUAUGGACAAGUGUAACAUAACCUCUACAGUAUUACAAGUCUAACACUUUAUUCACACCAUGCUAAAAUUGAGGGGUUUCUAUAUAUAGUAGUCCUCAACAGGCAAUUUUACAGUCAUGACAUUAACUAAAUGUUUCUUGAGCUCAGAGUAUUUACACAAUGGUA